rfam:Prunus persica cultivar Lovell chromosome G2, whole genome shotgun sequence.
GGAUCCAUAGCUCAGUGGUAGAGCAUUUGAGAUGCAUGUUUGACUGCAAAUCUUGAGGUCACCGGUUUGAACUUGGUUGGGCCCU